UACGUAGGGUGCAAGCGUUGUCCGGAAUUAUUGGCGUAAAGAGCUCGUAGGCGGUCUGUCGCGUCUGCUGUGAAACUCAGGGCUUAACCCUGAGCUUGCAGUGGGUACGGGCAGACUAGAGUGCGGUAGGGGAGACUGGAAUUCCUGGUGAUAGCGGUGAAAUGCGCAGAUAUCAGGAGGAACACCGGCGGCGAAGGCGGGUCUCUGGGCCGUAACUGACGCUGGAGGAGCGAAAGCAUGGGGAGCGAACAGG
rnacentral:rRNA from 1 species